UACGUAGGGGGCAAGCGUUGUCCGGAAUUAUUGGGCGUAAAGAGCGCGUAGGCGGUCCGAUAAGUCGGCUGUGAAAGUCAGGGGCUCAACCCCUGAAUGCCGGCCGAUACUGUCGGGCUAGAGUCCGGAAGAGGCGAGUGGAAUUCCCGGUGUGAGCGGUGAAAUGCGCAGAUAUCGGGAGGAACACCAAUGGCGAAGGCAAGCUCGCUGGGACGGUACUGACGCUGAGGCGCGAAAGCGUGGGGAGCAAACAGG
rnacentral:rRNA from 1 species